ACAGUACACUUGUGAUGGUGAACAUAGAAAGAUCGUUAUUUAUUAGAGUAGGUAGAAGCUUUAUAAUGUAAAUGUUUUUACCAAUUCCUUACUGAAUAGAUAUUUGGAGAAAUUAAGAAAAUAAGGAGGCUGGAAGUGUUUGCUGUAGAGAAAAACUGCAUCAUUGAUUUCAAAAUGAAGGCACAGAAAAUAACAGCAAUUUAUUGCACAUUGGGUCCCAGAGUCUGGAGGAAGAGAGGAGAGUCACAGAAUCCA